GGGGGGGGUGGAUAAUGUCCGGAUAGACGGUUUUAAACUGAUCCGUGGCUCUAGGUAGGAUUUGUCGCGUCAGCAAAGUCAAGAAGGCGAAGGCACAAGAACAAAAGCGACUUUUCAAUUUUUUUUUACUCAGAAAGAAAAGGGGAGUGAAUAUGCACCCAACCCACCAAUGUACCCGCUCCUGGGUUUUAGUUUAUACAAAUAGAUGGAGCCGCUUUCAAAGCACGAGUUUAAAAGAUCUCGAUGUUGAGUUAGCAGGAAGUGCAUGCUAUCCGAGCCGAGUAAAUGGGUUUCCGGUGUAUUGUACAACUCACGUGACUUGUAAUUCAUGUUAUUAUACAUUGUGCUCACUAUGUCGACUCUGAUUGGCUAAGAGUGUGCGCUUUAUUUUGAGAAUCACACAAUCUGAGGGUCCUCACUGAUCCGCUAGCAGAUAAUUGAUACUACGCGCGCAAUGCAUCUUGGGCUGAAGGUCUUUACUGAUCCGCUAGCAGAUAAUUGAUUCUACGCGCGCAAUGCAUCUUGGGUCUAGGGCGCGAAGAUUCGAUUGUUAGAAAUGGCGGCAUUUGUGCAAAUCGGGAAUAAAUUUUCUUCCCGAUAAAGUGUUUUUUUAAUUCGGUUUUUAGUGAUAUCCGAAAUAAACAAUGUUUUGCCAAGUGCCAACUGCCAAGUCUCGGCGAUCCGAGUUCGAGUUAUCGGGGUUUCGAUGUAUCGUGUAUAUCAAGUGAUUUGUAAUUUGCCACAACAAAAUCCUAUCGCGUCAACCUUGAUUAUAACCUGCCAUCGUGACAUUUGAGAUUAAAGGUAGUAUAUUGUAUUUGCUUUUCAUUUGUGCUUAACGAGUGACACAUGUAAAACGAUUAAGGAACAGUAAUAAAUUUAAGCAAGGAAUUUAAUCAAAUUUGCCAUUGAUAAAGCUUUCAGUGUGCAAUAUCUUAUUCAAUUAAACAGUGGAUUUAAGUUACUUAGUUGUAUCUAAGGUGAUUUAGUGAUGUACAAUAUGCAGGAAAGAGCAUUUUUAGGAGUUAUUCUCAUAGAGUGUGAAUUUCCUGAACUAAUAACCGCAGGUUAGUUUCAUUUGCUUUAGGGAAUUCGAUGUGUUUGGUGAUAAACACAGUAUACACAAACACAACAAUUGUAAUCUAAUUUCUAGUGUCCGAAUGUACAUAAAGAGAAUAAUAAGAAAAAAUACUGACAAAGUAAAUGCAAGUCGGGGUAAGGAAGAUGAAGUGUAAUAGACUUGAAGAGAGACAAGAAAAUAGGAAAAUGGAAAGUUGCAGAAGAUGUGCAGCAUUGAUAUGGCCGUCAGCUCAACGAGUUGCUUCCUUGCCUAAGAUUCCGUGCGCUAAAACACACAAAGAACGAGUCGUUUGUCUGCGAUUCUGACAGCAAAGGCCAACAGAAUAACUUACUGGACGCGAAAAUCAAGAAUUCGUGAAAGUGGCGGCAAAAGGACUACAGGGUUAGGGAGAACAAGUAUAAAGAGAAGUUUAAACAGCAUGUUUAAAGCUUAAUGUAUAGGACUGGUCUCCUCGGUGACAAUUCAAGUGCUGCGAAUGACGCUCGUUUGACACUUUAAUCAAAUUCUCUUUUUUUAAUGUAACUUGAAACUCUUCGUUGUGAGGUACUUGUAGCAAAAGAGCUUAUUUCUAGUCUUUGUUGCGUCUCUAUAGCAAAGUACAUUAAAAGAGGAAUUUGGCAAAUCUUAAUAGAUAUCCUAGUAUCCUAUGAAUAUUUAACAAAAAUAAUUAACUACAAAAAGACACUCCUAACGAAUUUCAUACAAAAGAAGAAAGCAUUGGGCAUAUACUUAUUUGGAAAUGGCAUAGUUUAAUGGCGUAACAUAGAAAUGGCUAAAGCUAAUAAGGGCAAGGUUUCCUGAGAUUUCAUUUUUUCCCCAAAAUAUAGUGGCAUAUACGCUUAUCCAUUAUAUUAUUGUGUAACUUUAGAGCUUGAUUAUUAUUUUUAUUCUCAUUAAGUUAUCUAACUUUGUGGAAUGUCUAGUGACCUAAGUGGAGUAUGCAACAAAGACCACAAAAAGAACAUGAAAAAAGUGACUUACCCCAGCGAGCAUGUGAGAGACAGCAGAACGACGCGCACAGUAAGAAUGGGAAAUUGCUCUAUGAUGAAUCCCACAAGCUUUUGUUUAUCCUUAUACGUCAUAUUAUUGACACUUUAUCGCAUGACACAUGACAUACGAUAGCGGUAGCUUUCCAUUCAGAAGAAAGAGCUAAAACCACCGAAUUUUUUAGCCUACGUUUUCCACAUCGGUCACUUUGCACACGACUGGCUUCCACACUGACUAUUGCAGCCAGUUAGAAGCGAAAGUAUAGCUUGAACAAUUGCAUGAUUGACGUGAAACACCUGCCCUAAAACGUGUAAGCAAGUCGUCAAAGAGAGCUGUCGUUUUCUCGCAUACGAUUUAUCUGUCCUUCGUUUUUAAUUCUCUUUCCACUUCGCACCUGGUCACAUUUAUCAUAAAGCCAAUUUAAUCUCUUGAUACCGCUUAUUUUAUUACAGUAUUUUAAUUUUGUAUCACUUUCAGCUAUACUGAAAGACAAACAAAAAAAACACUUUCUUUCUCUAUUUUGUCAAGAGAGCUUUCUUUUGCCCAUUGUGACAAAAUCAUAGAAAACUUCAAUCGCAUUAUCUGGCUACUACUUGUUAUACCUCGAUUUCAAUCAAAACUCAGAAUAUGAAUUUAAACUUGGUUAUAAGGUUUAAAGGUGUACAAGCACCUUUAUUUAAAUAAAUAAAAUCGAACUAAUCCAGAAAAGUGCACUUUAAUGAUGAUGUAGUAAGAGUAUAUUUUGAAAUUGUUACCAUUGAUGCGUUUGAUCACACGCUGUGCUUCUGUGAACUCUCCGUGUGAAUGGCGCUAAUGGGCACAAUAAAAGGCUUUAUUUGUUUUCAAUAUUGGCCAUGUUUGGGGUGGGAAUAUUCAAGAAAAUCGUUUUAAAACAUUAUCUUUAACCUAAUCUCAAACUUCUCAGCUCAUAAAAAAGGAAGCAAACAAUAAAAUUUUCUUACAAUCUAAUUUGAUGCGUAUUGUGUGGUGGAACGGAAUAAAACGGACCGGAAUGGGAAGUCAGAGAAACGGAAACUAAGAGAGGAGAAAAAGAAAGAAGAAAAAAGGGGAGGAGAAGACGAGAGGGAAAUAGGAAGAGGAAAAAGAGGAGGAGAAAACAGUAAUAAAAAGGACUAGAGAGAUUAGGAAGGCUGGGAUGGGAAAUCAGAAAAAAGAAGGAUGAAUUGAAAUAAAAACCAUUCGAGAGGAGUGGAAGCCGAAAAGGCUGAAAAAAUGAAAUAAAAUGAAAUAGAGAGAGCGGGAGUCAUGAGAGAAUAGAAUGAAAUAACAAGUAACAUAUAAAGUAUAUGAAAGCCGAACGGAAAGGAGGAGGUGGAGAAAUACAUACAAUUGAAACCCCGAUAACUCGAAGUGAUUUUUACUCUAACUCGAACUCUACCCUGGUCCCAGAGCCUCGAGCGUCUCUCUAUUUAGUUACCAGCGAGGUUACCUCGCUGACCACUAAAUAGAGAGACGUUCGAGGCUCUGGAACCAGGGUACUAGAACUCCCCGCCAACUCGAACUAGUUUCAAGUUCCCUAGAGUAAUUUUCAGUCAUUUCUUAUCGGGUAACUCGAAAUCCCCGCAAAGUCGAAUUCUAUCUUUUUUCACCUCCCUGGAGGCGGAUAGUAACGGGGCUCUACUUUUUUAUGUUUUAUCAUCCGCGACUUUUGAACCCUCGCUUGACGGGGAACCUUGCGCAGUACGCCACUGCCUGCUUGGAAUUGUUAGCGGCUUUUGAAAUAUUUAUCGACCAAGGGUCCGCUAUCAUAAACAUGUCUAUCUUGAAUUUAAAUUAAUUUUGCAACUGUCAAACACUUUCGUAACAAAGUAUACCCUUGAGGGGUGUGUAGGGAAUAAAAACAAUGAACUCGCGUUGUCCGGUUCCGAUUCACUGACGGUAGGAUAUCUGUGAUAAUUUCAUGGUCGAGUUGAUAAACCCACAAAACUAUAUAACACAUGCCACUGAGGAAUGAGCUCGCAUUACAACAGAAAUGUAGUGUAGUUCUUCCGUGAACAUGUUCAAAGCACUUACAGUGCCGAAUUAUCGUGAGUGUUUUCCUCGAAGCUGACAUAAAGCAAUCAGUGAUGACGCACACAUCUCAUCACUUAGCUACAUUUGUUGCCUCGCAUUAAAAUAAUAUCAAUCAUAUAUUGAAAUGAAAAAGAAAACAAUCAUAGUUACCUUUUCAGCAAGAGCUUGCUUGACUGCAACAAAACAACAAAAUAAAACGAAUCUUUGUAUCGUAUUUCCUUCUCCAGCAGCGAAGAAUUCAUGAAUGUUGUGAUUAUUGUGUUUUCACAAGCCAGAAGAGUCUAAUUCGAAAUUCUGCUUCCUCAAUAUGAUUACUGGGGACUUCGACACCUUGUAUAUCUUCCCAAUUGGUGAUGUAACUUGGGUAAUCAACACUCAAUCAGUCUCUUUGCAUUUGAGUCAAGAACAUGUCACGUCUGCUCGAUAUCACGAUACAAUUCUCCUAAUGAUUGCCUUGUCAUCUGAGAUUCAGAUUGUCAGAGAGAUGAACAUCUACACACCAGGGAUCCAAACGGAUCAACCAUUUGAAACGCUGCUGGUUGGAUCGAUAAUUGAUUCUUCUAGUAUCCUUUAUCAAGGAAUUUCAAAUCUAAUUAUCACCCUUAUGAUGGAAUUAUUAUAAUCGGUUUUACAAAUAAGUUACAGCAUUCCAAGAUUCAGUACACAGAUAACUCGAUGCCCCGGCUAGAAGUUCCAUUUUGCAUUGAGGUUAAAAUCCACUUGAGACUAGAAAUAUGCCAUUUGUAUUGGUCCGUAAAUUAAAUCCCCAAAUCCCCACUCAGAUCAAGCGCAGAGAAUUCUUGCAUAUCCUUAUUUUGUUGAUCCACUCCUCUAGUUAGAGAUAGGAUACAUUUCAGUAUGAUGAGGGUAAAAGCUUCCCUGCUAGCAGAGGUCUCUUUUCCUCGCGAACGCCAGCCCAGCGAAAUACAGAGAAAAGAGGCCUCUGCUAGCAGAGAAGUUAAAAGCUUGAUUGCUUCUGCUUUCACUUUCCUCGACAGUACAUCUGACCCCUAUUAAAAUGCGAAACACAUUCUGAAAGUGAAAACACCCCAGAAAUGAAACCAUACAUUCGGAUGACCCCAUCGAUAUGGCAGCUAAUUGCUUUGCGUAUGGGCUGUAGAAAAGGACCUAUCACCAAAAUAUUUCCUGCGAAUAUUACUGUGCAAUGCUCUUGCAAGGUAUAUACUACACGCAUAUUUUUAGGAAGGCAAUUACCAGGUUUCUAGCGCUGUCUUGUUACGCGACGCACAGCUUGCUGAGAUAUAGCGUAAAAGGUAGUACACUUAAAAGCACGCGAGCUUACAGGGGAUUUUGCUGUCACAUUUUCUAGAUAUCACAAUUAAUAUUUUAAUAUUUACUAUAUAUUUCCCUUGUUGAAAAUUAGGCCUCGUUCACACGGUACCGGUCGAGUUUUUGGCCGCUCAAACGUUAUUUGUUUAUUCUGUAUGUAAGGAUUAGGAUUCCGUGUAAACACCCCUUUCGUUACGAAUAUAGAGCUGUCAAAAAUUUCAACGGCAUCGCUUGUAUAAAGGUAUACAACGAGUUUUAAGAUGCACUUAAAGUGAACUGAUGAGAUCAAAGCCAUAUCUCUAUUUCAGUUAGUAAGCAGCAAUUUUUUAUCGGGAGAGGGAACACUACCAAAA